AUACGGAGGAUGCGAGCGUUAUCCGGAUUUAUUAGGUUUAAAGGGUGUGUAGGCGGUAUUUUAAGUCAGUGGUGCAAUCUUUCAGCUUAACUGAGAAACUGCCAUUGAUACUGGAAUACUUGAGUAUAGUUGAGGUAGGCGGAAUAUGUAAUGUAGCGGUGAAAUGCAUAGAUAUUACAUAGAACACCGAUUGCGAAGGCAGCCUACUAAACUAUUACUGACGCUGAUGCACGAAAGCGUGGGGAGCGAACAGGAUUAGAAACCCUAGUAGUCC
rnacentral:rRNA from 1 species